rnacentral:rRNA from 1 species
AUUGAACGCUGGCGACAUGCCUUACACAUGCAAGUCGAACGGCAGCACGGGUGCUUGCACCUGGUGGCGAGUGGCGAACGGGUGAGUAAUACAUCGGAACUUGUCCUGUAGUGGGGGAUAGCCCGGCGAAAGCCGGAUUAAUACCGCAUACGAUCUACGGAUGAAAGCGGGGGACCUUCGGGCCUCGCGCUAUAGGGUUGGCCGAUGGCUGAUUAGCUAGUUGGUGGGGUAAAGGCCUACCAAGGCGACGAUCAGUAGCUGGUCUGAGAGGACGACCAGCCACACUGGGACUGAGACACGGCCCAGACUCCUACGGGAGGCAGCAGUGGGGAAUUUUGGACAAUGGGCGAAAGCCUGAUCCAGCAAUGCCGCGUGUGUGAAGAAGGCCUUCGGGUUGUAAAGCACUUUUGUCCGGAAAGAAAUCCUUGGCCCUAAUACGGUCGGGGGAUGACGGUACCGGAAGAAUAAGCACCGGCUAACUACGUG